CGACAGGCUUAACACAUGCAAGUCGAGGGGCAGCACAGGUAGCAAUACCGGGUGGCGACCGGCGCACGGGUGAGUAACGCGUAUGCAACUUGCCUAUCAGAGGGGGAUAACCCGGCGAAAGUCGGACUAAUACCGCAUGAAGCAGGGGCCCCGCAUGGGGAUAUUUGCUAAAGAUUCAUCGCUGAUAGAUAGGCAUGCGUUCCAUUAGGCAGUUGGCGGGGUAACGGCCCACCAAACCGACGAUGGAUAGGGGUUCUGAGAGGAAGGUCCCCCACAUUGGUACUGAGACACGGACCAAACUCCUACGGGAGGCAGCAGUGAGGAAUAUUGGUCAAUGGGCGUAAGCCUGAACCAGCCAAGUCGCGUGAGGGAUGAAGGUUCUAUGGAUCGUAAACCUCUUUUAUAAGGGAAUAAAGUGCGGGACGUGUCCCGUUUUGUAUGUACCUUAUGAAUAAGGAUCGGCUAACUCCGUGCCAGCAGCCGCGGUAAUACGGAGGAUCCGAGCGUUAUCCGGAUUUAUUGGGUUUAAAGGGUGCGUAGGCGGCCUUUUAAGUCAGCGGUGAAAGUCUGUGGCUCAACCAUAGAAUUGCCGUUGAAACUGGGGGGCUUGAGUAUGUUUGAGGCAGGCGGAAUGCGUGGUGUAGCGGUGAAAUGCAUAGAUAUCACGCAGAACCCCGAUUGCGAAGGCAGCCUGCCAAGCCAUUACUGACGCUGAUGCACGAAAGCGUGGGGAUCAAACAGGAUUAGAUACCCUGGUAGUCCACGCAGUAAACGAUGAUCACUAGCUGUUUGCGAUACACUGUAAGCGGCACAGCGAAAGCGUUAAGUGAUCCACCUGGGGAGUACGCCGGCAACGGUGAAACUCAAAGGAAUUGACGGGGGCCCGCACAAGCGGAGGAACAUGUGGUUUAAUUCGAUGAUACGCGAGGAACCUUACCCGGGUUUGAACGCAUUCGGACCGAGGUGGAAACACCUUUUCUAGCAAUAGCCGUUUGCGAGGUGCUGCAUGGUUGUCGUCAGCUCGUGCCGUGAGGUGUCGGCUUAAGUGCCAUAACGAGCGCAACCCUUGCCACUAGUUACUAACAGGUAAAGCUGAGGACUCUGGUGGGACUGCCAGCGUAAGCUGCGAGGAAGGCGGGGAUGACGUCAAAUCAGCACGGCCCUUACAUCCGGGGCGACACACGUGUUACAAUGGCGUGGACAAAGGGAAGCCACCUGGCGACAGGGAGCGAAUCCCCAAACCACGUCUCAGUUCGGAUCGGAGUCUGCAACCCGACUCCGUGAAGCUGGAUUCGCUAGUAAUCGCGCAUCAGCCAUGGCGCGGUGAAUACGUUCCCGGGCCUUGUACACACCGCCCGUCAAGCCAUGGGAGCCGGGGGUACCUGAAGUCCGUAACCGCGAGGAUCGGCCUAGGGUAAAACUGGUAAUUGGGG
rnacentral:rRNA from 1 species